GAUGAACGCUGGCGGCGUGCCUAAUACAUGCAAGUCGAGCGAACAGACGAGGAGCUUGCUCCUCUGACGUUAGCGGCGGACGGGUGAGUAACACGUGGAUAACCUACCUAUAAGACUGGGAUAACUUCGGGAAACCGGAGCUAAUACCGGAUAAUAUAUUGAACCGCAUGGUUCAAUAGUGAAAGACGGUUUUGCUGUCACUUAUAGAUGGAUCCGCGCCGCAUUAGCUAGUUGGUAAGGUAACGGCUUAGCAAGGCGACGAUGCGUAGCCGACCUGAGAGGGUGAUCGGCCACACUGGAACUGAGACACGGUCCAGACUCCUACGGGAGGCAGCAGUAGGGAAUCUUCCGCAAUGGGCGAAAGCCUGACGGAGCAACGCCGCGUGAGUGAUGAAGGUCUUCGGAUCGUAAAACUCUGUUAUUAGGGAAGAACAAAUGUGUAAGUAACUAUGCACGUCUUGACGGUACCUAAUCAGAAAGCCACGGCUAACUACGUG
rnacentral:rRNA from 1 species